CAGUAGCCGCGGUAAUACGGAGGGUGCAAGCGUUAAUCGGAAUUACUGGGCGUAAAGCGCACGCAGGCGGUUUGUUAAGUCAGAUGUGAAAUCCCCGAGCUUAACUUGAGAACUGCAUUUGAAACUGGCAAGCUAGAGUCUUGUAGAGGGGGGUAGAAUUCCAGGUGUAGCGGUGGAAUGCGUAGAGAUCUGGGGGAAUACCGGUGGCGAAGGCGGCCCCCUGGACAAAGACUGACGCUCAGGUGCGAAAGCGUGGGGAGCAAACAGGAUUAGAUACCCCUGUAGUCCCUGUCUCUUAUAC
rnacentral:rRNA from 1 species